CACGGUAAGACUGGUGACUGGGACUAAGUCGUAACAAGGUAGCCGUAGGUGAACCUGCAGAAGGAUCA
rnacentral:rRNA from 1 species